GGAACAUUUUGUUUCGUGACGGUCAAAUAUAUGACCCCGUAACAUAUAUUUAUGGCUCCACCACUGAUGGUGGAGGAGCAAUUGAUUUUAUGGCUGAGGUUGAUUCGUCCAAUAAUUAGGUGCAUUAUUAGAGAAACCAUUAGGAGCAUUCAUGUAUCUCGACCCAUAACAUUGUUCCAUCAAAUACUUUUUCGAUUCUCUCGCUGUUUAUUCUGCCCGUUAUUGCUCCAUACUAUAAUAACAUCUACGUCUGCUUUUAUAAUCUUUUCAAGUACUAGAGAGCUUUCACCUAACAUAGCAUUAUUAUCAUAAGAUGAUUUCAUGAUUCCUCUCAAUAUGUUUUCAAA